CUUCUGAUAAGUCAUCCAGUCGCGCGGGCCCAGCCCACCCCAUCUUCCCUAUCCUCCCUAUCUUCUUGUGGCGGCCGAGCGCACUAACAGAGAGGGAUUCUCUCUCGCCCCUUCCCUCUCCCCUCGCCAAAUAUUCAAGAUCUACUCACUCCACCACUCAAAUUCAUGGAUCUGAGGGCCCUGGGCAUCCUUGAGUUGGUGGACAAUUUUAGAAGAUUGGUAGGUACUAGAUGAUGUGUUCUUGAAUAUGUAGGCCAUAUUAUUUCGGAUUGGUGCUUGUACAGGCUAUUCAUAUGUUGUCAUAGGAACCCGCAUGAAGAGAGAUGAUGAACUCUUCAGAGGUCAUUUAUGGGAGCAUUGCACAUGUUGCGUCCUAGUGUCGUCACGUGUCACGCUUCGUUAAAGUGGGGUUUUUCGUACGAAAUUACUUUUCUAACUUUUUGGCUAAGUUAAGCACGAAUUCACCCCGUUUGAAAAAAUAUGUAUCCGACCUUUUUUGGUCACGCCAACACGUCUCGUUUGCAUGGGAGACAUCAUGGUCCCUGGUGUUUCCCCCUCGUCCACACAUCAUAGACCUCGGCUUUUACCCUCGACCCAAAACGCCACAGACCGUGGUGUUUUCUCCUGAUAAGUCAUCCAGCCGCGCGGGCCCAACCCACUCCAUCUUCCCUAUCCUCUGGCGACGAUCGAGCUAACGCACGAACAGAGAGGGUUCUCUCUCGCCCCUUCCCUCACCCCUCACCAAAUCCUCAAGAUAUACUCAUUCCACCCCUCAAAUUCAUGGAUCUGAGGCCCCUAAGCAUCCUCAAGGCCAUAUUAAUUCGGAUUUGUGCCUAUAUAGGCUAUCAAUACGUUGUCAUAGGAACCCACAUGAAGAGAUAUGAUGAACACUUGAUGGUUGUAUAUGGUACGGUUUGUUUGAGAUCUUGGUUUGGUUAUAGAUGAUUAAUGUUUGCAUAUGUUGUCGCAUGGGAUAUUAUCAAGAGAGAUGAUGGUUGUAUGUGAUAUUGUUUGUUUGAUAAUCUUGCUUGGUUUAUAAAUGAUGUGUGUGCAUGUGCUA